rnacentral:rRNA from 1 species
CCUACGGGAGGCAGCAGUGGGGGAUAUUGCACAAUGGGGGGAACCCUGAUGCAGCGACGCCGCGUGGGUGAAGGCUUGCUUCGGCAUGUAAAGCCCUAUCGGCAGGGGAGAAGCAAGACGGUACCUGACUAAGAAGCCCCGGCUAAGUACGUGCGAGCAGCCGCGGUACUACGCAGGGGGCGAGCGUUUUCCGGAUUCACUGGGUGUAAAGGGAGCGUAGACGGCCAAGCAAGCCAGGGGUGAAAGCCUGGGGCUCAACCCCGGGACUGCACUUGGGACUGCAUGGCUGGAGUGCGGGUGGGGCAGGCGGAAGUCGUGGUGUAGCGGUGAAAUGCGUAGAUAUCAGGAGGAA